rnacentral:lncRNA from 1 species
UCCGGAUUGGAAGCCCCAAGGAUUCUGAGAGCCCCGCUAAUCUGGGGAUGACUCCUAGGAGUAGAAGACGGUCCAUCUUAGUUGUCACGAGUAUCUCACUUCUUGGAAUCCGGCGGCGUUCACGUGUGUGCUCCAGAGAAGGGCGCCAGAGGGUAUUCCCUGAAAGUGAAAGGUCGGCGAAAGAGGAGUAAAGACGGCGAGACGCGUCCACGCAGGGGGAGUCUGUGCGGUUUGGAGGAACGCGCCAAUGUCUGCACUCAUGAGGAGCCCCCAAGGGCGGUUUUAAGAGGGUGAAGCAGGACCGGGCGCAGUGACUUACGCCUGUAAUCUAAGUGCUUUGGAAGGCCUAGGCAGGAGGAUCUCGAGCCCAGGAGUUCGAGAUUAGCCUGAGACCUCAUCGCUACCAAAAUAAAUAAAGUAGGCAUCCAUUUGUGUAAAACAAACCAUAUAUACACACAUAUAUACAUAUAUAAACAUUUGUAUAUAUAGGUAUAGGCAUAGUUAUCUAUACCUUGUAAACCAAAAAUAAAAUUGUAAGCCUCCCCAACCAACUGA